GUGUCAGCAGCCGCGGUAAGACGAACCGUGCGAACGUUAUUCGGAAUCAUUGGGCUUAAAGAGCGCGUAGGCGGCGACGUAAGUUGGAAGUGAAAUCCCAUCGGCUCAACCGUGGAAUCGCUCCCAGUACUGCGUUGCUCGAGGGAGAUAGGGGCCUGUGGAACUGCCGGUGGAGCGGUGAAAUGUGUUGAUAUCGGCGGGAACGCCAGUGGCGAAAGCGACAGGCUGGACCUUUUCUGACGCUGAGGCGCGAAAGCUAGGGGAGCAAACGGGAUUAGAAACCCCCGUAGUCC
rnacentral:rRNA from 1 species